UAUUUCUUUGUGCUAUAUUAUAAAACAAAUAUAAAACAUUUUUCCGUAUUGAUAUACAGUUAUAUCAACACUCGUGGAAAUUAGGAAAACUCGUAAUUGUGCAUGUGAAAACACUCCACCCAUAUACCUGUAUAUAAACACGGAAAAUGUUUUAUAUUUGUUAAAUAUACACUGGAAAAAAAGUGAAAUCCAUACUACGAAAUUUGCAAUUGCACCACUAAAUCCACAGUUUAUCCACACUAUUUCCAUACUAUAUCCUACUAUAUCCAUACUAUAUCCAUACUAUGGAAAUAUACAAUUAUUAUGGAUAACCAAAAUCCA